GGCGAGUUCAAGUGCAGAACUUAAUUAAUCGAUUUCACAUAAUCAGGUACCAAUUUCUGUAUUCAACGGUGAUUCUCCGUAUUAAGCAUCAUCUCUUUGGGUUGUUUUAGAGGGACUUUCAAACACAACACAAGGACACACUUGGUAUUCAACGGUGAUUCUCCGUAUUAAGCAUCAUGGAAUGAAGUCUAUGCUGUUUCAUUCUCUUCAGGGAAUGCAAGUUUCAGGUCUUGCUGUUGUUACUGCAGAAUGUGGGAAUAGAAAGAAACUUCUUGGGACUGCAAUACUCCAGGUUUGGCAUCGUUUAAAGAACACAUGGCUGACAAGUUACACACAGUUUCAUCUCGUGCUAUUUUUUAUGGUCCAUCCAAAGGUCGAGAUUGCUGAAGGGGUUCAGGAUAUGUGUAAAUUUUGCAAUACAGGCUUCACCAGACACAACAACGUGACAUCGAUUCCAACAAAUUUCCCUACAGUUUUGGCUCAAUAUUAUAUGAAUCUGUAACUGCAAAAUCAACAAACUACAAAGGUUUAUAGCACUCUGUACACUGACACCGUUUUUUUUUGCUCUGGUUUGUUAAGUUUUGUUGCUGUAAGAAAUAUAUGAGCUGAUGGGUGUUCUGUCAGGUACGUAAAAAAAAGAGUUCAUGUGAUCACGUUUAACUGUUGGAAACGAGACAGGUUCAUGUCUGUGAUGUUUUCAGUGUUUGGCUUAAGAUUUGAGAUGGGGUUUCGGUCAUGGGAACUGGGAAUUCUCAAAAAGAACAUAUAGUUGUUUUUAUGUAACAGGAAUUAUCCAUCAUUCUCAAAUGACUGAUUCAAGCUCAGGAUACAGCUAGCAUCGGCACACUCAAACUGUUGCACUGAUAUGAUAAAAUGUGAUGCAGAAACCAAGUUAAAGCAGAUGGUUGUCUAAGUGGAUGGUUGUUGCUGGUUACAGAAAAAGCUUAGGCAUGUAAGUAAGACUUGGAAGUCUGAAGCCUGCUCAUUAUGUCUCAGGACAUUGACUUGGAAGUCUGAAGCCUGAAGCAUCCAAUGUGGUGAAAGAUGAAGAGUACAAAGGGGAGAUUUGGGUCGCGCUCUCCUUCAAGCCCUCGGAAAACCGAAGCAGGGGUAUCGAUGAGGAGUCCUAUGGAGGCUGGAAAAACUCUGAAGCAUCAUACUAAGAGAAGAAACCAUUGUGUGUUACUGUUUGAUUUGAGUCUUGGGAACAAAAUGUUGAGUUUUCAUUUGAAAGAGUCUUUUUGUUCAGAGAGUUAACUCAUGAAAAAUAGUGUCUUGAAUUUUCAAA